rnacentral:tRNA from 1 species
GCCCGGGUGGUGAAAUUGGUAGACACUGGGGACUUAAAAUCCCCUGACCGUUAGGUCGUGCCGGUUCAAGUCCGGCCCCGGGCACCA